GGCGUUGUACCCAAGUGGUAAGGGAGCAGUCUGCAAAACUGUCAUUCGCCGGUUCGAUCCCGGCCAACGCCU
rnacentral:tRNA from 1 species